CGGGACGGGUGGGUAAUGUCUGGGAAACUGCCUGAUGAGGGGGAGUAACUACUGGAAACGGUAGCUAAUACCGCAUAACGUCGCAAGACCAAAGAGGGGGACCUUCGGGCCUCUUGCCAUCGGAUGUGCCCAGAUGGGAUUAGCUAGUAGGUGGGGUAACGGCUCACCUAGGCGACGAUCCCUAGCUGGUCUGAGAGGAUGACCAGCCACACUGGAACUGAGACACGGUCCAG
rnacentral:rRNA from 1 species